CUAAUUUUUUAGCAUCUUACAAAUCCUAAUAAAUGCUCUAAAGUCCAAUUUACAAGUAUUUAAGUACUAUUUUCUUCAUAUCUCAAAAUUCAAAAAUUUAAAUUUUACAAAAACUUGUAUAUAGCUUAAUAAUAUGAUAAUACUCAUUCUUAAAAAUUUUGAGCUAAAAUAUUUUUAAAUUACUUGAGAUAUAGCUCAAAAUACAACCACUAGUAAAUUAGAUUACUAACUAUCUUUAGAUUCCAAGUGCUAACUUCAACUUCCAAUAUUCUUUUUAUUCCAAUUUAGAAUUUAUCAAAAAAUAUAUAUAUAAAUUUUAACCA
rnacentral:lncRNA from 1 species